rnacentral:rRNA from 1 species
AGUGAACGCUGGCGGUAGGCCUAACACAUGCAAGUCGAACGGCAGCACAGUAAGAGCUUGCUCUUACGGGUGGCGAGUGGCGGACGGGUGAGGCAUACAUCGGAAUCUACUUUUUCGUGGGGGAUAACGUAGGGAAACUUACGCUAAUACCGCAUACGACCUACGGGUGAAAGCAGGGGAUCUUCGGACCUUGCGCGAUUGAAUGAGCCGAUGUCGGAUUAGCUAGUUGGCGGGGUAAAGGCCCACCAAGGCGACGAUCCGUAGCUGGUCUGAGAGGAUGAUCAGCCACACUGGAACUGAGACACGGUCCAGACUCCUACGGGAGGCAGCAGUGGGGAAUAUUGGACAAUGGGCGCAAGCCUGACCCAGCAAUACCGCGUGAGUGAAGAAGGCCUUCGGGUUGUAAAGCCCUUUUGUUGGGAAAGAAAAGCAGCAGGUUAAUACCCCGCUGUUCUGACGGUACCCAAAGAAUAAGCACCGGCUAACUUCGUG